AUUGAACGCUGGCGGCAUGCCUUACACAUGCAAGUCGAACGGUAACAGGUUAAGCUGACGAGUGGCGAACGGGUGAGUAAUGUAUCGGAACGUGCCCAGUUGUGGGGGAUAACUGCUCGAAAGAGCAGCUAAUACCGCAUACGACCUGAGGGUGAAAGCGGGGGAUCGCAAGACCUCGCGCAAUUGGAGCGGCCGAUAUCAGAUUAGGUAGUUGGUGGGGUAAAGGCUCACCAAGCCGACGAUCUGUAGCUGGUCUGAGAGGACGACCAGCCACACUGGGACUGAGACACGGCCCAGACUCCUACGGGAGGCAGCAGUGGGGAAUUUUGGACAAUGGGCGCAAGCCUGAUCCAGCCAUGCCGCGUGCGGGAAGAAGGCCUUCGGGUUGUAAACCGCUUUUGUCAGGGAAGAAACGCUCUGGGUUAAUACCCUGGGGUAAUGACGGUACCUGAAGAAUAAGCACCGGCUAACUACGUGCCAGCCGCCGCGGUAAAAC
rnacentral:rRNA from 1 species